rnacentral:rRNA from 1 species
AUGGAGCCACUUCAAAGGGAGGGCUUCGCUGCAUAUCUGGUGGCCAUGUCCAGGGGCAAAGCAAAGGGACGGCUGUUUGCUGUGGAUAUGGUCCUGGCAAUGCUGCCGGUGCUGUUGCCGUCGGAAAUCGAUGAUUCUGGUCUCCAGGAUGGCUCUUGGGGGCUCAAGUGUGUCCAGGUGUUGGUGGAGAGGUGUUCGGAUAGUGCUGGAGCGGUCCGGGCUCGGGCCUUGACGAAUGCAGCCCAUGCGCUUGAUGUUUUGUCUGAAAGAGGCGUGGAGGUCGAUCGACUGCAGGAGGUGAUGAAGAUCGGGGACAUGGGUCUUGGAGAGUUGUUGAGGAGAAGGUGCAUCGAUGAUAAGGCUGCCGUCAGGAAGGCUGCACUUGUGCUCAUCACCAAGGCAAUUGGUUUGGUUGGCAGGCCUGUCGAUGAGUCGCUACUUGCUGCAAUGGGGGCUGCGUGCUCUGAUCCGCUAGUCACCAUUCGCAAGGCGGCUCUUGCAGCCAUCUCAGAGGUGUUCCGGAAAUUCCCAGAUGAGAGUGUGACAAAGGAGUGGCUUCAGGCUGUGCCAUCGCUUAUGAUUGAUAGUGAGACCAGUAUCCAGGAGGAAUGUGAGAACUUGUUUCUUGAACUGGUUCUGAACAGGGUCUGCCAAGCUGCCAAUUUGAAACUGGAUGAUGAUUCAGUCAACUUGGAGGAGCUGUUCCCGGACGGGACACUGGAUUUGCUGAAAAGCAUAUGUGAUGGAGAGGUUGUUCCCUGCAUAAAAAGGAUAUGUGCAAGCCUUGGGAAGAAGAAAAAGCUGAGACCACUGCUUGCUAGUUCACUCCAGAAUAUAAUAACAAUAUCUGAAACCUUGUGGUUGAGAAGUUCUAAGCCAAUUGAGAAUUGGACUGCACCAGCUGGGGCUUGGUGGCUUCUUUCCGAGGUCUCCUCAUUUGCGCCUAAAUCAGUUAACUGGAAGUUCCUCUCUCACCACUGGAAACUCCUUGAUAAUGUUGGCCAAGAAGGCAAAGGUAAAGCUUCUUCUGAAGGGGAACCAAACUCUGCGCUCUGGGCUGUGGAUCGUGUUUCCCUCCUGCAAACUAUUUCAAAUGUCUCCAUGGAGCUACCUGUGGAGCCUGCAGCAGAACUGGCACACAGCUUACUCACGCGGAUUGAAAAUUUUGAUAUGAACCUGAGUGAGGUCGAUGCCCAUGUAAAGUCACUGAAAACUUUAUGUAAACGGAAAGCGAAAACGGCAAAGGAAGCUGAAGCACUAAUAAUGAAGUGGGUUCAGCAACUUAUCAAUAAAGCAGUUGAUAGUUUAGAAAGCUACAUAAAAGGAACAUCACAAGAUUCCAGGGGUUGUAGCUACAAUACUCCUCUGACUGGCAAAUUUAAGGGAAGAAAGGAGGCAUCCACAUCAAAGGAGAUGUCAGAAGCUGUUAUUGCUGUCUUCACCGUUGGAUCAGUGAUCCUAGCUUGCCCUGAUGCUAGUGUGCAAGGCAUCAUUCCUUUGCUGCACACAGUCAUAACUUCUGGAAACCCCGAGCCAAGACCAACAAUGCUUGCAGGUGGAGCCGUUUCUUUCAAUGAGGUAGCUCCAUCAUUAUAUAUACAGUCGUGGGAUACAAUGGCAAAAAUAUGCCUUGUAGAUGACAAACUAGCAAAACGAUAUAUUCCGCUCUUUGUUCAGGAGCUUGAGCGGAGUGAUUUGGCCACCCUCCGGAAUAACAUCAUGAUAGCAAUGGCUGACUUUUAUGUGCGCUACACAGCACUAGUUGACUGUUAUAUGUCAAAAAUAACAAAAGUGCUGCGUGAUCCCUGCGAAGUAGUACGGAGGCAAACAUUUGUCCUACUCGCGAAGUUGCUGCAGAGGGAUUACGUAAAAUGGAGAGGAGUGCUUUUCCUUCGGUUUCUGCCAUCUUUAGUUGACGAAUCGGAUAAGAUAAGGCAUUUGGCCGACUACCUAUUUGGAAGCAUCUUAAAAGCCAAAGCGCCACUUCUUGCAUAUAACAGUUUCAUAGAAGCUAUCUAUGUCCUAAACAAUUGCACAGGACAUGGUGGAUAUAGUGAGUCUCAGUCUCAGAGUUCUCAAGGGUCUCAAAGUUCAGACAGAGGACAAACCCUUUUUGCGAUACGGGGAACUGACGAAAGGUCAAGGUCAAAACGAAUGCACAUAUAUGUGUCCUUGUUGAAACAAAUGGCCCCGGAGCACCUUCUAGCUACAUCAGCCAAGUUGUGUGCUGAGAUCUUAGCAGGUGUUUGUGAUGGCUUGCUAAGUGUUGACGAUGCAGCUGGAAGGGCUGUAGUUCAGGAUGCUCUACAAAUACUAGCUUGCAAGGAGAUGCGCAUCCAUCCCAGCAUCCUCGCGGACAAUUCCGAGAUGGAUGACGACGGUGGAGAUGGCGGGACGGCCAACGCCCUCCAGGCGGCCAAAGGGCGGGCGGUGACCCAGGUGGCAAAGAAGAACCUGAUUCAGAUCGCGAUCCCGAUAUUCAUCGAGCUGAAGCGGCUGCUGGAGAGCAAGAACAGCCCUCUGACGGGGUGCCUGAUGGAGUGCCUGCGUGCCCUGCUCAAGGACUACAAGAACGAGUUCGAUGAGAUACUGGUGGCGGACAAGCAGCUGCAGAAGGAGCUCCUCUACGACAUGCAGAAGUUCGAGGCCGGCAAGGGCAAGUCGUCCAGGGAAGGAGAGGCCGCCGGCCCCAGCGGGAGCUCUCCGGCUGCUCCUGAUCCGAGUGACGCGGCAACGAAGGCCACGGCGCGGUCGGUGCUCAAGGAGAUGAACCGGAACGUGCCGACGCCACCGCUGCACACCAUGAGCGUACCCAAGGUGAAGUCGGUGCUGGGCACUGGAGCGCUGAGUGGCUCGCGCCGUCCAGCUAUCCUAGAGUCAGUCAGGCGGCUUGAGCCGUUUGGGUCAGACGAUGAGAAUUAG